rnacentral:rRNA from 1 species
CCCGCCGGCGACCGGCGCACGGGUGAGUAACACGUAUGCAACCUGGCCGCCACAGGGGGAUAACCCGCGGAAACGCGGCCUAAUACCCCGUGACGCCACCGGAGGGCAUCCUCCGGUGGCCAAAGGAGCGAUCCGGUGGCGGAUGGGCGUGCGGCGCAUUAGCUAGACGGCGGGGUGACGGCCCACCGUGGCGACGAUGCGUAGGGGUUCUGAGAGGAAGGCCCCCCACACUGGGACUGAGACACGGCCCAGACUCCUACGGAAGGCAGCAG